GGAGACGUGGCCGAGAGGCUGAUGGCUACCGACUUAAAAUCGGUAAAGCCCUUCGGGUUUCGGGGGUUCGAAUCCCCCCGUCUCCG
rnacentral:tRNA from 1 species